ensembl:lncRNA
GGCUAUGGAGGGAUGUGGGAUGUCAGUUCUCAGACCAGGGAUCGAACUCGGGCCACUGCAGUGAAAGUGCCAAGCCCUAUCCACUGGGCCACCAGGGAACUCCUAAUUUAUCUAAGUGAGCUCAUUUAAUUAAUUAAUUUAUUUAUUUAUUUUUGCUUUUUAGAGCCGCACCCGUGGCAUAUGGAAGUUCCCAGACUAGGGGUCGAAUCAGAGCUACAGCUGCCUGCCUUCGCCACAGUCACAGCAACACGGGAUCCGACCCAUACCUGUGACCUACAUACACCACAGCUCACAGCCAAUGCCAGAUCCCUGACCCACUGGGCGAGGCCAGGGAUCAAACCCGCAUCCUCAUGGAUGCUAGUCGGGUUCGUUAACUGCUGAGCCACAACAGGAACUCCCACUUUUACUCAGCGGGUAGAGAGUGGAUCUGAUUAGGAACUUGGGCCAUGCCUCUUAACUCUGCCUCUCCCAGAGUCUCCUAAUUCUGAAAGACUCCUUCCAGAGGCACACCACCACCGACAAGCCCCCAGUGCAAAGUAACAUCUAGAAGCAGAGAGGGCCCUUUGGGAUGCAGUGGGAUUAAGAGCUGUGUGACCUAAGCAAGCUGUCAAACACGUGAAGUCAAGGACUCGGUUGUACCAAGAUACAGAAGAGCAGUUACAGAGAAUCCCCCAGUUCUUCUCCCAGUCUGAGCAAGUGCGCUUCAGGAAGGGUCUGGGGAUGCUCUCCCUCAUCCGGGCCAGUCCUUCAUCCCGCUGGGCUGGCUCCCAUCACCCCACAGGACUAUUAUUUUUUCUUUCUUCUUGUCUUUCCAGGGCCGCACCUGCGGCACAUGGAGGUUCUCAAGCUAGGGGUCUAAUCGGAGGUGUAGCCGCCAGCCUACGCCAGAGCCGCAGCAACACCAGAUCUGAGCCUCGUCUGUGACCUACACCACAGCUUGUGGCAACGCCAGAUCUUCAACCCACGCAGUGAGGCCAAGGAUCGAACCCAACCUCAUGGUUCCUAGUCGGACUCAUUAACCAUUGAUCCACGACAGGAACUCCAGGACCACUGUUUUUUCUGAGCUCUCCUGGUUUCUCCUGCUUGUUGAUGUCCUAGUAAAAUGCAAUCUCAUGGUUGGCCUAUCAGGUACCAUCAAGAACCGCUCUUAGUUUAGAAAUGCUGGGCCUCUGGAAGCCUUGGAUGCGAGGCGGUCUGUAUCAUAGGCAUUCGCCCACCUCUGCAAAGCGAAAGGAGAAACAUUCCGUCUGCCAUUGAGUGACGAGACACAGAUUCUUGGUGCCUGCCCACACACCCUGCCCUUCAAAACAAGCCUGCCAAUCAACCAGGGCCCCCCUGGCUCUCAACACUCCGGCCUAGACUCAGCCUCAGCAUCCUUGUCCACUGGACUGUGAUGCGUGGCAUCCAUGGUGACACUGAGUAGCCACUUUUGUCCUAUAAAAACACUAGUAAAGAUGAGCUGGCUACUUUCUGUCACUUUUGUGAAAGAUAAUGUAGGCAAACCUGGUAGAAUUUCCACCUGCUUCUUCAAGCUCAAAUACUAGAAUCAAACGUCUUCCAGACAUUGUAAUCAAUUAAUACUGUGAUACAGCUGGUCAAAUUACUCUUUUUAAUGUGCGUACGCUUAAUUACCAUCCACUUUUACAUCUAAAAAAUUCACUCUAAGUUGAGUGUUUCUAUCAAGAUGUUGGCUCUCUCCAGCACAGUCCAUUAGAUUGAUAAAAAUCCAUUUUAAAAUUUAGAGUCUGGCCCAGCAAUCCCACACCUGGGAAUCCAUCCCAAUGAAAUAAAAGCAUCCGUCUGGACAUCGAACAAAGAUGCUUAGUGUAUCACUCUGGGUGGCCGGGUGGGAGUGUGGGAAGAAACCCCUGGAGGCUAAAUGGAUGCCCCUCUGACACGUUCAAGAUGGGGCAGGACUGGGUAAAUCAUGGUACAUCCACACCAGGGACUAUCAGGCCUCAGCGGGAUGCAAAAAGACAGACAACGAGCAGUACGCAUAAAAUGAUUCCAUGUUGUAUCAAGCACAACUACCCCAAAGAAAAAGCUUUUAUAUCUAUAUAUGAAAAAUUUAGAAGGAAACAGAUUAGAUUGUUGGCAUGUUGCACCUCACAAGGAGGGGUUGACUGGAGGGGAGGGGUAAAGUGACAGAGGGUGGCACUAGGCCGAAAUGGGAUGGACAUGCUCUAAGAUGAACCUUACCAGAAGGUGCACUGACUCACACCAAGAAUGAGCCCAGCAAAGAGCCGGGCGGGCCUCACCCUGUCUGAGGCGUUACGGAGGCAUCUUCAUACAGAAGGACUUCCAUCCUCACACCUCAGGGAGGCCUGUAUCACGGUCCCCAUUAUACGAGUGACAGACAGGAGGCUCAGGGACCACACAGCUGAUAGAGAGAGCCCAUCAGCCCUGCUUCAAAAACGACACGCCUUUCUACAAUCUAACUAGUCUAUGAGAUUAAACGAGGGGGUAAAAAAACUAAGCCAAAAUGAGUCUUACCAAUUUGGGAGAAAUCUAGCAGGGAAAACGGGCCAAAGGCAUCUUUGCCAGGCGUUCCGCGGGGCACGCGCCACCUUUUCCCCCACUGGAGGAGCACAGCUGUGACCCACAGGGCCUGGGGGGCGCCACUCAGCACAGGGGCAGCGGCAGACAUGCCCUUCCUCCAGUCCCGCCUGGAAGCCAAGGCCGUCACAGGAAGCGGGCACCACUUUUCACCAGAACCCCUUUCCCUGAGCAGUCGGGAUUCACAUCACUCUCUGGAAGGUGAGCUGUGGCGGGGGCGCCGGGGGAGGGGGCACAGGCACCUGUCGGGCGUGGGGGCUUCCGUGCCCGGGGCCCAGCACUCUGCCUCACUCACAGCAGCUGGUGACCUAUAACCUCUCUUAAAUGAGUGAAUUCGGGUGCUGGGUAAAUACGGGCUGCUCAUCCUUGUGUAAAACGGGGAGGAAGUUACUCCCGAGGGAAUUCUGUGUUUUGGAUAAAGAUAACGUUCACCAUAACAAUAAAAUCGGCAAAAACAGUCAAUGGCCGCAUAUCAAGGUCCUAUUCAAGAGGCACUUGCUAGACCCUUAACGUACACAGCGCGUGGGAAUCUCACAGGAACACUGCACCGCGCAGGAGCGUGGGCGCCUGUGCAGCAGGAGGACCCGGCCAGCCAGGCGGGCGUCACAUGGAAACUCUGCGCUGGUCGUUCCUCUGGCUUCCCGCCGCUCCGCGCUCUGCAAACACGCAUGCUCACACCCUGAGAAACACGAGCACAGGGGAGCCUCAGGACAGCACUGACAGGCGGGCUCUCAGAUCAGCAAGGGGCAAAACACGGUCUGUACGACAUUCUUGCUAUUUUUUGUCUUUUUAGGGCUGCACCCAUGGCAAAUGGAAGUUCCCAGACUAGGGGUCAAAUCGGAGCUGCACCUGCUGGCCUGCCCCUCAGCCACAGCCACAUGGGAUCCAAGCCGUGUCUGUGACCUACACCACAGCUCACAGCAACACCCCGAUCCUUAACCCACCGAGCGAGGCCAGGGAUCGAACCUGUGUCCUCAUGGAUCCUAGUCAGAUUCGUCUCCUCUGAGCCACGACGGGAACUCCAUGUACAACAUUAUUCUUGAUGUGGGUUAACGCAAACCCAGAGGCCUCCGCAGGCAGCUCCACGGCAGGACUCGGGUUUGCUGUUCUCGCGUCGGUCCCGCCCUCUACUCGACGCUGAGCCUUCUCCGGCCUGAGCGCCCUCACUUCCAACACAUGAGCCUCAUGCAGAGGGCUGAGGACGCUUGACGGAUGCGUUCGAGCAGAGGGCUGUGGCAGUUUCCGCCCUUCUCAGACCACAGCAUGACAGUUACAGAAUUCGAAGCCAUUUGUAUCCCCCGCAGAAUCCCACAUAACUCAGCAGACACUCAUUACGAUGCCAUAAUGAUAUCACGCGGCCAUAAAUACAUAUGCUAAGAGUCAAACAAGACAUUCAUAUUUAAACGUAGCUGGAAAUAAUUUCAAUCCUGGCGAUUUUCUAUUGCUCAUUCUAUUACUUUUCUGUGGACGCUUAAAAUGUUAAAACCAAGAAGAAAGAGGCGGGGUGUGUGCGUCACAGCUUCUCCUUUAGCAAGAACAGGAAUCUGGGUAAUCAAGUUCUGUCUGAUAAAUAUUUUGUUUGAGGAAAAGGUAAUUUAAUAAUAGAUGAGAAGCCCCCUGAUAUGUCAAUUUCAGGAGAAUCAUUCAUGCUGCCAUAAAUGCAGUCCAAGAUUUUAAUAUUCUGAGAUAUCAGCUUCGUAUUUGAAGGGUGGGAGCCCUGAUUUCAUAAAUAAGAAACGCCUGUAAGACUUUUUCAUAAAACUUUUAAAAAAUACAUAAGGCAAACAAAUAAUACAGUUCAAAUUAAAACCACUUCCAAGUCACCAUUCCUAAAGAGGAGGAAAAAUGCCUUUGCAGGAACUAGAUCCAAGCCGCCAGAAGGGAGCCGAUCGCUCAGAUAACGUGACAGCAAUCACGACAACGCUGCUCUUUGCCUUAGACUCCUCAAGUGCAGACAGAAAGACACAGUUUGUCUUUGGCCUCCAUGAUGUAUCCGUUAACAGCUCUCUUCCCAUAGUAUUCAGACACCUUACAACGGAUUUUUGAAUUAUUUAAGUGGAAGUAGCAUUAGAAAAUCCUCAUGUUUAAAUGAUGCUAAAUAAGUCUUCUUUCAGCUGGACUUCUGCUUGUGCAAAAACAUAUUUUCUGGAGGUAUGUAGGAAGGACUCCAAAGAGUGUGAGAAGACAGCACGUGUGCCAAGUGCACACCAGUGUGUGGGGAGUAAGAGUGUACAGACAAGCCACGGGUGCAAGACAUUCUCGAUAUCUGGACGUCCUAGAGGGAAUUUUAGUUCGUACAUUUACAGAGAUGAUGUCAAUUUUCUAAAAUGCUUCCAAAGGUCCAGAAAGCUCUGAACAGGAGAAUUUACAAUGGAUGGGAGUCCAACUGCAAUAAAUCAUGGAAUACCUAUACUAUGGAAUAUUACACAGCUAUGAGAGGAAUGAGUUUGCUCUCCCAUCGAGUGACCAGAGGGAUGCCCGUGAUGGAUUAUUGGUCAGGGAGAUAAGCAUGCAACGAGCAGUGCACCGUGCAGACACCGGGCAGUAUUCUUGUGAAAGCAAACAGAGAACCUUCCCUGUAUUUGCCAAGGAUGUCCCUUCAUGGGCAGAAGAGUCUGCAGACAGUGAGAAGGGCUC